AUGGGCCAGACGCAGCUCUCUGUGGCUCUCCAGGAAUCGGGUGUUCAGCAAGGGCAUCUGAGUGAGUAAAUGGAAGAAUGGAGAUGACACUAUAUCACGUACAAUUCUGAUGAUCCUUGGUACACACACACCAGGCAGAGCCACAGCCAGUAUGAGGGAUGGAAGUCCUGCCAGCUGCUGCCUGUAUUUUCUCGAGUCACUAGAAUGUGAAGCUUCACCGGAAGAAUAGGCAAGCCCAGCCACUGACUCAGCAAGCCAGCAUUGUCAGACGCAGAUGUGAUUGACGACCACAUACCCUUCACCAGGAGCAAAACCAGACGAACUGGGAGCUCGACUGGACCCGUUAAGUCCUCGGCAUUGGCAACCCCAGCAGCUGCUCCAGCAGACGGCCCCCUCCUGCCUUCCAGAUGCUACUGACCAAGCUACCCUCCAUCAGCCAGGUGAGGAUGCUCUACCAUGGGAAACUAGGGCUGAAAAAUUACUUGGUGCCCUUAACCAUCUUCUUCCAAUGAUCUGCACUUGUUAAACCCCCUUUGUGGAUUUAAGGCAAUGGAUUGCUACCACCAUGGUUGGGGGGAUUUCUGCCAUAUUCCUUACACUACCAGUUCAUUCCUUUUCAAGCCCAUGAGGAGGAUUAUAUGAAUGCAUACUUCGGUUUAGGGGUAGUGGGUCGGCUUGGUCCUGAUUCUUUACCCUUCCAAAGUGUGCACUAGUUCAGUGGUCCUCAUUCUUGGCGCUGAAGGGCAGCAGUGUGUAAAUUGUCAUCGCUACCUGUGCUAUAACAAACACCUAAUUGAACUACAAUAAGACCAUACUUGGGUAAAUUUAGUGAAUUAAUGGUUGGUUGUGACAACAUGCAUUAAACCCAAGCAUACAGUUAUUGUGAACAUUAAAAAAACACAGUAAUCGAAUUGUGACUUGUGCACCUAUCCGCCGCCAUUGUCGCAACGCCUAUUACCAGCCUGUUCAACCUCUCUUUCAUAUCGUCUGAGAUCCCCAAGGAUUGGAAAGCUGCCGCAGUCAUCCCCCUCUUCAAAGGGGGAGACACCCUGGACCCAAACUGUUACAGACCUAUAUCCAUCCUGCCCUGCCUAUCUAAGGUCUUCGAAAGCCAAGUCAACAAACAGGUCACUGACCAUCUCGAAUCCCACCGUAGCUUCUCCGCUGUGCAAUCUGGUUUCCGAGCCGGUCACGGGUGCACCUCAGCCACGCUCAAGGUACUAAACGAUAUCAUAACCGCCAUGCAAAUAAAUUACUUAAAAAUCAUACAAUGUGAUGUUCUGUAUUUUUGUUUUAGAUUCCGUCUCUCACAGUUGAAGUGUACCUAUGAUAACAAUUACAGACCUCUACAUGCUUUGUAAGUAGGAAAACCUGUAAAAUCGGCAGUGUAUCAAAUACUUGUUCUCCCCAAUGUAUAUGCUGUAAAGCACGUCCAGACAUCCUACUUAUUUUACUUUUUUAACUUGCACAAAAAUAAACCACAUCCAUGUUCUCCUUUUGGUAGGUAUUUUCAUUAUU